UACGUAGGGUCCGAGCGUUGUCCGGAAUUAUUGGGCGUAAAGGGCUCGUAGGCGGUUCGUCACGUCGGGAGUGAAAACUCAGGGCUUAACCCCGAGCCUGCUUCCGAUACGGGCAGACUAGAGGUAGGCAGGGGAGAGCGGAACUCCUGGUGUAGCGGUGGAAUGCGCAGAUAUCAGGAAGAACACCGGUGGCGAAGGCGGCUCUCUGGGCCUUACCUGACGCUGAGGAGCGAAAGCGUGGGUAGCGAACAGG
rnacentral:rRNA from 1 species